rnacentral:rRNA from 1 species
GACGAACGCUGGCGGCGUGCUUAACACAUGCAAGUCGAACGAUGAAGCUAGAGCUUGCUCUGGUGAAUUAGUGGCGAACGGGUGAGUAACACGUGAGUAACCUGCCCCGAACUCUGGGAUAACUGCUGGAAACGGUAGCUAAUACUGGAUACGACCUACGAAGGCAUCUUCUGUAGGUGGAAAGAAUUUCGGUUCGGGAUGGACUCGCGGCCUAUCAGCUUGUUGGUGAGGUAAUGGCUCACCAAGGCGACGACGGGUAGCCGGCCUGAGAGGGUGACCGGCCACACUGGGACUGGGACACGGCCCAGACUCCUACGGGAGGCAGCAGUGGGGAAUAUUGCACAAUGGGCGCAAGCCUGAUGCAGCAACGCCGCGUGAGGGAUGACGGCCUUCGGGUUGUAAACCUCUUUUAGUAGGGAAGAAGCGAAAGUGACGGUACCUGCAGAAAAAGCACCGGCUAACUACGUGCCAGUCGCCGCGGUAA